AUGAUACUGGCUGCCCAGGUAGGUCUUAUUGUGAAGAUCAUUCAGAAAGAGCUUUCUUUCUAGCUGGAGAGAACAGGAAUCUAUGUAAAUGUACUUAUUUGUGCUUUUUAGUGACAUUCUGAAUCUUUAUUUGAUCACCUUCCCCAAGUACUAUUAUAACAAAUACAUAUUUCUUUAUCUGUAAUGUUUUGUACACAGAUAUAAAUAAAAUCAGGCUGUCCUAUAACACAUAUAUACAAAUAGAUACAAAAUAUGUCUCAGAAUACUAAGAAUUGUUAGAUAACUUUGAAAUAUCGUAAAUAUUUUUCCCACAUCUGAACCCGAGUGAUGUAGAUCCAAGGCAGGAUCCGUAGCUGUUCAGCAAGGAGACGUCGGCUGCAAGCCUAGCUAAUGACGCCCAGCUGGCUUUGUUCACUUCGUUAGAGUCUGUUAACAAUAUGAGACACAACAGGACUUAAAACAGAGAACAGGAGUAAGCAGGAAACAAGGGGAACAGAAUGAACUUUUGCAAAUUAGGCGUUGUUGUUACUGCUGGAACUUAUUUUCGAGUAUUUGAUUUUGGUUAAUGGUUUGGCUGUUUUGAAUUAAAGGAGCACUUAUUCUUUCAGGCUACUUUAAUGUGUGUUCUGGGGUACAGAUCCUGUCCAAUCACUGCUUCCUCUCUGAAAUGGCUACAUAUGUUAUGGCUGAUUCAGUGUUAUGUAAUACUUCAUUCAAGCAGCUUCCCUGCUCUCACUCGAGGGAAGAAUCUGAGUGAAAAAGCAGGAAUGCAUGAAAUAUGGUUUUAACUGGUAUAUCUUUCACUGAGAAUGUCUUUCAGACUAAUAGUUUUAGCAGAAAACUCACAUCACAGCCCUGUGAUGGGUUGGUGCCCCAUCCUGGGUUAUUCCCUGUCCUGUGGGAUAGGCUCCAGGUUCCUGCGACCCUGAUAGGACAAGCGGAUACAGAAAAUGGAUGGAUGGAUGGAUGGAACUUAGUGUUUCAAUGAGGAAGAGAUAUUUUCCUUUUGUUAACGCAAAUAUCCCAGCUAGGUGUUGCGGAAUGGCAUGGCGCAGGUGGAAAACAGCGACGAUCUACUGAGCUCAAACAAAAUAGACCACACUACAAAAAAAAACUACAAAACUGGGUUGACAGAACUACAGGCUCAGCCCCCUGAGCUAUGCAGCAGUCCAAGUACUGACAGAGAUACACAAGAGUAAAGGAUUCAAAGACAGAAGCUGGGAUGGCCAGCAAUCCCUACUGGCCAAACAGGGAAGUGACAUAAAUGGCAGGGUCACACAGGCACCAACCUGACACAUUGGUUGCGAUAGCCUUUACCUUUUCCCUACAUGGCAUGGAACCAAUUCAGACAAGCCUUCAGUGCUUCUGUGUCGUGGUGUAAGACAGGGGAGGGCAUGUUUUUGACUGGGGAAGGAGGAAGGUAAUGGGAAAAGCCCCUUUCAUCACCUGUGAUUGUUUACUAAUUGUUAAAUGUAUAAAUUUAAUUGUUAGUUUGUACUUUGUUGAAGCCCCAAUGGCUGAGUGCUGCUGAAGUCCCUGUUCCAUACCAAAUUAAUAUGUUCACAUACUUCAUACAUUUAAUUUUCACUUU